AUCCAACUGACGAUUCUCAAAUAGGACGAAACGCGUGUCGUGGAU
rnacentral:hammerhead_ribozyme from 1 species